rnacentral:misc_RNA from 1 species
GAUGAAGAACGUAGCGAAAUGCGAUAAGUAAUGUGAAUUGCAGAAUUCAGUGAAUCAUCGAAUCUUUGAACGCGCAUUGCGCCCGCUAGUAUUCUGGCGGGCAUGCCUGUUCGAGCGUCAUUUCAACCAUCAAGCCCUGUUUAGGAUUGUGUUGGGGCCCUGCGGCUGCCGCAGCCCCCUAAAUGCAGUGGCGGGCUCGUUGUCACUCCGAGCGCAGUAGCGUAUCUCGCUCUGGGCGUGGCGGCGGGUGCUAGCCGUGAAACACCCACUAAGGUUGACCUCGGAUCAGGUAGGAAUACCCGCUGAACUUAAGCAUAUCAAUAAGCGGAGGA